rnacentral:rRNA from 1 species
AUUGAACGCUGGCGGCAGGCCUAACACAUGCAAGUCGAGCGGAUGAAGGGAGCUUGCUCCUGGAUUCAGCGGCGGACGGGUGAGUAAUGCCUAGGAAUCUGCCUGGUAGUGGGGGAUAACGUCCGGAAACGGGCGCUAAUACCGCAUACGUCCUGAGGGAGAAAGUGGGGGAUCUUCGGACCUCACGCUAUCAGAUGAGCCCAGGUCGGAUUAGCUAGUUGGUGGGGUAAAGGCCUACCAAGGCGACGAUCCGUAACUGGUCUGAGAGGAUGAUCAGACACACUGGAACUGAGACACGGUCCAGACUCCUACGGGAGGCAGCAGUGGGGAAUAUUGGACAAUGGGCGAAAGCCUGAUCCAGCCAUGCCGCGUGUGUGAAGAAGGUCUUCGGAUUGUAAAGCACUUUAAGUUGGGAGGAAGGGCAGUAAGUUAAUACCUUGCUGUUUUGACGUUACCAACAGAAUAAGCACCGGCUAACUUCGUG